UACGAAGGGGGCUAGCGUUGCUCGGAAUCACUGGGCGUAAAGCGCACGUAGGCGGAUCUUUAAGUCAGGGGUGAAAUCCUGGAGCUCAACUCCAGAACUGCCCUUGAUACUGGGGAUCUCGAGUCCGGAAGAGGUGAGUGGAACUCCGAGUGUAGAGGUGAAAUUCGUAGAUAUUCGGAAGAACACCAGUGGCGAAGGCGGCUCACUGGUCCGGUACUGACGCUGAGGUGCGAAAGCGUGGGGAGCAAACAGG
rnacentral:rRNA from 1 species